UCCUGCUGGGAAUGGAAUGGGGGCUGCUCAGAAUACAGGCAACAAUCACCACCCUAGGCCCGAAGCUGAAGCUCUUGGCAUUCUGCAUAUGAGCUGACACAUGAAGUCCCAAACAGCCAGGAGCCCUGACUUUGACGUGAAAGACAGUCCCAAUGGCAAGUGAGGCUUGAAAUAUCUUAGCCCUUAUAAGAGACAAGGUAUUUGGGACAACUCUGAGCUAUUCCUUGAGAGCAUGGAGACAAGUGUGUCUGCUGAGAGUUCAAGUACAGAGUCCACACAGAACAGUAUGAAGCAAAGACACACAAGGUUACAUUAAAGAAGCCAGGACUAACGGACUGGACAGCAUUCUAACCCAACAACACUGUCAAAUCAGAAGAAUUCUAUCUGAAGAAGGUUUGUGGGACCAAAAGGGUGAAAACAAUGUAAAGUUACAAAGACAAACAUUAGCAAUGUCCAUCUAACAGUUUCCAGGGGAUUAGGUGCCCUAAAAGAGCAACGUGAAUGGUUAGUCUGCCUCAUGGACCUAUCUUCCCAUAGUGGAGGUAGAGGCCCCUAGUUUCAGAGUCUGAAGCCAUUCACCAUCCCUGUUAUCCAGCAAGUGGCUCUGCUCUUGGGCUAUUACAGUUGCCUUCUGAUAGCUGUCUUUCCUACGGCUGGCCCACAUAGAGAAAGGGCCCUGAUUAAGCUGAUGUGAAUGCUGAGGUUGCCCAAUGGGCAUAUUUCUCACUGAACAUGAACUGAUUGGCCUUUCAGUUUAUAGGUACCAGUCUCUAGGUCUCUACUGAAUUUACUCAGUUAGCCUGAAUUGGUAGAAUCAACUCUGGGGCAUGGAUAACAUGGAGCUUCCGGACUCCCAAAGCAGAAGGAGGGUCAGAACUCCAACCGUAAAAAAUGCUUCCUGGAAUCUGCUCCUGGCAUUCUACUUCUUGUUUUCCUUUGGCCAUCCUCACAAUGUGUCUUUUCUUUCAACGUAUAUAUUCUCAUGAUUCCCAAAAAGCAUUUGUGGUCGAUUGAAAAAAUUGGCCAUCAUACUUCGCAGCUCUUCUCACCAAGAGGCAGUCUAUUUCCUCACUCCUUGAAUCUGGGAUAACCGUAUGACGUGCUCUGGCCGAUGGAAUAUGGAGGAAAUGACCUCAUAGGAGUUCCGUGACUAGACCUUAAGAGACUUUGUUUGCAGCUUCUGUUCUUGCUCUUUCAUAACUCUAAGUUCACUGUGUAUAAGUCUCCAAGCUAGCCUUCUGGAUGAGGAAAGAUACAUGGCUCAAAUACCCAGUCCUUGUAGAUGAUAGCCAGUCAACCCCAGGAGAGUCACCUUGUAAGUACACAGGAGUCCAAGCAAGACCAAGAGAAGAACCCCCUAGAUUAACUCAACUUGCUCUUGCAUAGGCUCAUAGGCCAAAUACAUGGUUAUUGUUUUAAGCUACCAAAUUUUGGAUUGUCUGUCAUGGAACAGCAGAUAAUUGAUAUAGCAGUGUUUGUAUUUUUAGUACCUCACAACUCCAUCAUGAACUUAUUGCCACAGUUUGUCUCUGGGAAGCCAUGGAAUUUGCCUCUUUAUAGAACACAAUCAGGAUUUAUCUUGGACUAUCUCCUGAGCUUCAGGGUCUCCUACAGAAGAAAUAGCCCCUGCAUCUUUCAUCAAGAGCCCUUGUGCUGAAGGAAGCAAGUUGCAAUGCUGUGAGUAGCCCUAUACAACAGCUCAGGAGGCAAGGAAUUGAUGUCUCCAGCCAGCAGCCAGUGAGAACCAGAAGACUGUCAACAGAUCCAUGAUGAGCUUGGAAUCAGGUCCUCCUCCAAGCUAAGUCUUGAAAUAACUGAACCUUCAGAGCAGCCUUGUGAGAUACCCUGAUCCAGACGACACAGCCACACUCUCCCCCAAUUUGAGCAAUGAAAAUACUAUGACUAUGCUGUGUCAAAUACAAAAAGUUCAUAGAACGUUCCUAGUCCAAGCAGUUUUAAAGAACUUGAUUCUCAACUGGCUACGAUCUGAAGAAAAGAGUAUUUUUGUAACAAAUCACCUGGUGAUGGAUGAUGAAAA